UACAGAGGUGGCAAGCGUUGUUCGGAUUCAUUGGGCGUAAAGGGCGUGUAGGCGGUUUGUUAAGUCAUGUGUGAAAUCCCUCGGCUCAACCGGGGAAGGACGCAUGAAACUGGCAAGCUAGAGUACCAAAGAGGGGGGGGUGGAAUUCCCGGUGUAGCGGUGAAAUGCGCAGAUAUCGGGAGGAACACCAGUAGCGAAGGCGGCUCGCUGGGCCACACCUGACGCUGAGACGCGAAAGCUAGGGGAGCGAACAGG
rnacentral:rRNA from 1 species